rnacentral:rRNA from 1 species
AGAGUUUGAUCCUGGCUCAGGACGAACGCUGGCGGCGUGCUUAACACAUGCAAGUCGAACGGACUUUCCAGGACGGAAUCCUUCGGGAGGAAGACCUGGCGAGUUAGUGGCGGACGGGUGAGUAACGCGUGGAUAAUCUGCCCAAUAGACCGGGACAACAGUUGGAAACGACUGCUAAUACCGGAUAAAGUAGCUUGCGGCAUCGCAGAGUUACCAAAGGAGGCCUCUUAACAAUGCUCCCGCUGUUGGAUGAGUCCGCGUACGAUUAGCUAGUUGGUGGGGUAAUGGCCUACCAAGGCGACGAUCGUUAGCCGACCUGAGAGGGUGGCCGGCCACACUGGGACUGAGACACGGCCCAGACUCCUACGGGAGGCAGCAGUGGGGAAUCUUCCGCAAUGGGCGCAAGCCUGACGGAGCAACGCCGCGUGAAUGAAGAAGGCCUUCGGGUCGUAAAGUUCUGUCUUUAGGGACGAAUGCACGAUUGCGAAUAGUUGUUGUGUUGACGGUACCUGAGGAGGAAGCUCCGGCUAACUACGUGCCAGCAGCCGCGGUAAUACGUAGGGAGCAAGCGUUGUCCGGAAUUACUGGGCGUAAAGGGCGCGUAGGUGGACAUUUAAGUCAGAUGUGAAAACUCUGGGCUCAACUUGGAGAUUGCAUUUGAAACUGGACGUCUUGAGGGUAGGAGAGGAAAGUGGAAUUCCUAGUGUAGCGGUGAAAUGCGUAGAUAUUAGGAGGAACACCAGUGGCGAAGGCGACUUUCUGGACUAUACCUGACACUGAGGCGCGAAAGCGUGGGGAGCGAACGGGAUUAGAUACCCCGGUAGUCCACGCCGUAAACGAUGGAUACUAGGUGUAGGGGGUAUCGACCCCUUCUGUGCCGCAGCUAACGCAAUAAGUAUCCCGCCUGGGGACUACGGUCGCAAGACUAAAACUCAAAGGAAUUGACGGGGACCCGCACAAGCGGUGGAGCAUGUGGUUUAAUUCGACGCAACGCGAAGAACCUUACCAGGGCUUGACAUCCCGCGCUAUCCAUGGAAACAUGGAGUUUUGGCCUUCGGGCCGAACGCGGUGACAGGUGGUGCAUGGUUGUCGUCAGCUCGUGUCGUGAGAUGUUGGGUUAAGUCCCGCAACGAGCGCAACCCCUACUUUUAGUUGCCAGCAUUAAGUUGGGCACUCUAAAGGAACUGCCAGUGACAAACUGGAGGAAGGUGGGGAUGACGUCAAAUCAUCAUGCCCUUUAUGUCCUGGGCUACACACGCGCUACAAUGGCCGGUACAGAGGGCUGCUAAGGAGCGAUCUGGAGCCAAUCCCAAAAAGCCGGUCUCAGUUCGGAUUGCAGGCUGCAACCCGCCUGCAUGAAGUCGGAAUCGCUAGUAAUCGCGAGUCAGCAUAUCGCGGUGAAUACGUUCCCGGGUCUUGUACACACCGCCCGUCACACCACGAAAGUUGGCAACACCCGAAGUCGAUGGGCUAACCGCAAGGAGGCAGUCGCCUAAGGUGGGGUUGAUGAUUGGGGUGAAGUCGUAACAAGGUAGCCGUAUCGGAUGCGGCUGGAU